rnacentral:rRNA from 1 species
AAUGGGGGCUAUACUGGGGUUGACCCACCCGAUCCCAUCCCGAACUCGGAAGUGAAAUACCCCAAGGCCGAUGAUACUCGGGGAUCCCCCCGGGGAAAGUAGGUAGCCCCCGCUA